rnacentral:tRNA from 1 species
GGGGACUUAACUCAGUGGCUUAAGUGUCUGCCUGGUAAGCACAAGGUCAUGAGUUCGAUCCCUGGUCCCCU